AUAUGCACUGAGUACCUGCUGUAUGCCUGGGACUGUGUUAGGAAUUGAGGAAAUUCCAAUGAGCAAAUAUGGAUCACAUUCCUUCUUGCAGACUAGCAGAAGAUAUAGACUUGGAACUUGACAAUUACAACACUAUACUGCGGCUUGUUGAAAAUGUAGGAGCCAAUGUUUCCAACCAUCCCUGCUCCAAACUCUGAUGCAUACGCACCUGUGUACAGGGUGCACCCUGGCCUACAUGUUCUUUCAUCAUUCUGCAGUGCUCAAUGUGGUUAUUGUACAGCUUCAUUUUCAGUGAAAGCCACGGGAACAGAAGCCUCAUACAUU